CAGGACGAACGCUGGCGGCGUGCCUAACACAUGCAAGUCGAACGGGGAUUUGUUUCGGCAGAAUCCUAGUGGCGAACGGGUGAGUAACGCGUAGGCAACCUGCCCUCCGGCCGGGGGACAACACUCCGAAAGGGGGUGCUAAUACCGGAUACGAAGUCUGUGCCGCAUGGUACGGAUUUGAAAGAUGGCCUCUAUUUAUAAGCUAUCGCCGGGGGAUGGGCCUGCGUCCGAUUAGCUGGUUGGUGGGGUAACGGCCUACCAAGGCGACGAUCGGUAGCCGGUCUGAGAGGAUGAACGGCCACAUUGGGACUGAGACACGGCCCAGACUCCUACGGGAGGCAGCAGUGGGGAAUCUUCCGCAAUGGGCGCAAGCCUGACGGAGCAACGCCGCGUGAGUGAGGAAGUUCUUCGGAACGUAAAGCUCUGUUGUUCCUGACGAACCUCCCUUCUAUCAACAACGGAAGGGACUGACGGUAGGGAACGAGGAAGCCACGGCUAACUACGUGCCAGCAGCGGC
rnacentral:rRNA from 1 species